GGACGGUUAGCUCAGCUGGCUAGAGCGUUCGCUUGACGUGCGAAAGGUCGGGGGUUCAAGUCCCUCACCGUCCA
rnacentral:tRNA from 1 species